rnacentral:rRNA from 1 species
UGGGGAAUUUUGGACAGUGGGCGCAAGCCUGAUCCAGCCAUUCCGCGUGCAGGAUGAAGGCCCUCGGGUUGUAAACUGCUUUUGUACGGAACGAAAAGGCUCUGGUUAAUACCUGGGGCUCAUGACGGUACCGUAAGAAUAAGCACCGGCUAACUACGUGCCAGCAGCCGCGGUAAUACGUAGGGUGCAAGCGUUAAUCGGAAUUACUGGGCGUAAAGCGUGCGCAGGCGGUGAUGUAAGACAGGUGUGAAAUCCCCGGGCUUAACCUGGGAACUGCAUUUGUGACUGCAUCGCUGGAGUGCGGCAGAGGGGGAUGGAAUUCCGCGUGUAGCAGUGGAAUGCGUAGAUAUGCGGAGGAACACCGAUGGCGAAGGCAAUCCCCUGGGCCUGCACUGACGCUCAUGCACGAAAGCGUGGGGAGCAAACAGGAUUAGAUACCCUGGUAGUCCACGCCCUAAACGAUGUCAACUGGUUGUUGGUCCUUCACUGGAUCAGUAACGAAGCUAACGCGUGAAGUUGACCGCCUGGGGAGUACGGCCGCAAGGUUGA